AGUGAACGCUGGCGGUAGGCCUGACACAUGCAAGUCGAACGGCAGCACAGUAAGAGCUUGCUCUUACGGGUGGCGAGUGGCGGACGGGUGAGGAAUACAUCGGGAUCUACUUUUUCGUGGGGGAUAACGUAGGGAAACUUACGCUAAUACCGCAUACGACCUACGGGUGAAAGCAGGGGAUCUUCGGACCUUGCGCGAUUGAAUGAGCCGAUGUCGGAUUAGCUAGUUGGCGGGGUAAAGGCCCACCAAGGCGACGAUCCGUAGCUGGUCUGAGAGGAUGAUCAGCCACACUGGAACUGAGACACGGUCCAGACUCCUACGGGAGGCAGCAGUGGGGAAUAUUGGACAAUGGGCGCAAGCCUGAUCCAGCCAUACCGCGUGGGUGAAGAAGGCCUUCGGGUUGUAAAGCCCUUUUGUUGGGAAAGAAAAGCAGCAGGUUAAUACCCCGCUGUUCUGACGGUACCCAAAGAAUAAGCACCGGCCAACUUCGUG
rnacentral:rRNA from 1 species